UUUCAAAUUAAUGAAAAAAAAAUAAUUGGAACGAUAUAGUGAAGAUUAGCAUGAUUCCUAUUUAAAGAUUACACAUAUAAAUUAAGAAAUGGUCGAAUUUUUA
rnacentral:snRNA from 1 species